GAUGGUGUGGUUCCUAUCUUUUGUUUGCACAAGGUGGCCAAAGAAGAAGAGCCCAAUCCGGUUGUUAAUCCUCAAAAGUCUUCCACUUCAACAUGGAAAGCUUCGGUGAAGAAAAGUUCUAAGAAAUCUCCAUCACGGUCUAGUAAGAAGGAAAGAACCAAUUUGAAGACCAAAGGGGAAGGUCUCAAGAGUGAUUCGGGAAGCGUGAAAUCAUUACUAUUUGAU
rnacentral:lncRNA from 1 species